rnacentral:rRNA from 1 species
AGAAGGUGACUUCGGUCACUGGACAGUGGCGCACGGGUGAGUAACGCGUGGGAACCUGCCCCGAGGUACGGAACAACGGCUGGAAACGGCCGCUAAUGCCGUAUGUGUCCUGAGGGAGAAAGAUUUAUCGCCUUGGGAGGGGCCCGCGUCCGAUUAGCUAGUUGGUGAGGUAAUGGCUCACCAAGGCGACGAUCGGUAGCUGGUCUGAGAGGAUGAUCAGCCACACUGGGACUGAGACACGGCCCAGACUCCUACGGGAGGCAGCAGUGGGGAAUAUUGGACAAUGGGGGCAACCCUGAUCCAGCAAUGCCGCGUGUGUGAUGAAGGCCUUAGGGUUGUAAAGCACUUUCACUGGUGAAGAUGAUGACGGUAGCCAGAGAAGAAGCCCCGGCUAACUCCGUGCCAGCAGCCGCGGUAAUACGGAGGGGGCAAGCGUUGUUCGGAAUUACUGGGCGUAAAGGGCGUGUAGGCGGCGGUCUUAGUCAGGCGUGAAAGCCCGGGGCUCAACCUCGGAAUAGCGCUUGAUACUGGAUUGCUUGAGACCGGAAGAGGGUAGUGGAAUUCCCAGUGUAGAGGUGAAAUUCGUAGAUAUUGGGAAGAA